rnacentral:lncRNA from 1 species
CCAGGUUUCUGCAAUCUACUACAGCCCUCACUGGUGAGUGAAAAAGCAGAGACCGUGCUUUCCAGCGCAAUCCGUGCGGCACCUUUGGCCACUGCUGGUACUGUCUGCAUGAAAGCACACAAGCAGGACUCGGAAAAAGAAAUGAAGGARAAUUUGGAUGGAUUUUUUUUCGCCCAAACCAAAUUUGAUACCGGGAUUUCUGGACUUGUGGAAUAUUUAGAGAAGCUGAGAGCAGUUUGUGCAGCGUUUGGACAAGCACUAACC